rnacentral:rRNA from 1 species
GACAGAGGGUGCAAACGUUGUUCGGAUUUACUGGGCGUAAAGGGCGCGUAGGCGGCGUGACAAGUCACUUGUGAAAUCUCCGGGCUUAACUCGGAGCGGUCAAGUGAUACUGUCGUGCUAGAGUGCGGAAGGGGCUACUGGAAUUCUCGGUGUAGCGGUGAAAUGCGUAGAUAUCGAGAGGAACACCUGCGGCGAAGGCGGGUAGCUGGGCCGACACUGACGCUGAUGCGCGAAAGCCAGGGGAGCGAACAGG